CUUAUUGAAAGACAAGGGUUGCUUGGCCCGCCCAAAUCAGUGAGAGCCUCAUUGGAAUCAGCCUAAACCCAUGGAAACCGAGGAAAUGGAUUACUGAAGAUUUAUUUCUCAUGUUAACACGUCAAACAAAUGGACCUCAUGGAAGCAACAUCAAAAUGAGUCAGUUCUUUCCAAGAUUUACUUCUCUCUCUCUUUCUCUCUCUCUCUCUCUCUCUCACACACACACACAC
rnacentral:lncRNA from 1 species